rnacentral:rRNA from 1 species
GAUGAACGCUGGCGGCGUGCCUAAUACAUGCAAGUCGAGCGAACGGACGAGAAGCUUGCUUCUCUGAUGUUAGCGGCGGACGGGUGAGUAACACGUGGAUAACCUACCUAUAAGACUGGGAUAACUUCGGGAAACCGGAGCUAAUACCGGAUAAUAUUUUGAACCGCAUGGUUCAAAAGUGAAAGACGGUCUUGCUGUCACUUAUAGAUGGAUCCGCGCUGCAUUAGCUAGUUGGUAAGGUAACGGCUUACCAAGGCAACGAUGCAUAGCCGACCUGAGAGGGUGAUCGGCCACACUGGAACUGAGACACGGUCCAGACUCCUACGGGAGGCAGCAGUAGGGAAUCUUCCGCAAUGGGCGAGAGCCUGACGGAGCAACGCCGCGUGAGUGAUGAAGGUCUUCGGAUCGUAAAACUCUGUUAUUAGGGAAGAACAUAUGUGUAAGUAACUGUGCACAUCUUGACGGUACCUAAUCAGAAAGCCACGGCUAACUACGUGCCAGCAGCCGCGGUAAUACGUAGGUGGCAAGCGUUAUCCGGAAUUAUUGGGCGUAAAGCGCGCGUAGGCGGUUUUUUAAGUCUGAUGUGAAAGCCCACGGCUCAACCGUGGAGGGUCAUUGGAAACUGGAAAACUUGAGUGCAGAAGAGGAAAGUGGAAUUCCAUGUGUAGCGGCGAAAUGCGCAGAGAUAUGGAGGAACACCAGUGGCGAAGGCGACUUUCUGGUCUGUAACUGACGCUGAUGUGCGAAAGCGUGGGGAUCAAACAGGAUUAGAUACCCUGGUAGUCCACGCCGUAAACGAUGAGUGCUAAGUGUUAGGGGGUUUCCGCCCCUUAGUGCUGCAGCUAACGCAUUAAGCACUCCGCCUGGGGAGUACGACCGCAAGGUUGAAACUCAAAGGAAUUGACGGGGACCCGCACAAGCGGUGGAGCAUGUGGUUUAAUUCGAAGCAACGCGAAGAACCUUACCAAAUCUUGACAUCCUUUGACAACUCUAGAGAUAGAGCCUUCCCCUUCGGGGGACAAAGUGACAGGUGGUGCAUGGUUGUCGUCAGCUCGUGUCGUGAGAUGUUGGGUUAAGUCCCGCAACGAGCGCAACCCUUAAGCUUAGUUGCCAUCAUUAAGUUGGGCACUCUAAGUUGACUGCCGGUGACAAACCGGAGGAAGGUGGGGAUGACGUCAAAUCAUCAUGCCCCUUAUGAUUUGGGCUACACACGUGCUACAAUGGACAAUACAAAGGGCAGCGAAACCGCGAGGUCAAGCAAAUCCCAUAAAGUUGUUCUCAGUUCGGAUUGUAGUCUGCAACUCGACUACAUGAAGCUGGAAUCGCUAGUAAUCGUAGAUCAGCAUGCUACGGUGAAUACGUUCCCGGGUCU